UGCUGGGUAAUUUAAUGUUGCAAUUUAAACAAUAAUCUCGACGACCCAGAAACGUAAGAUGCUUCACACGUGUUUCCACUCCCACAGGUGUUACAUCAUUGUUUCUCUCUCCCAGAUAUUAUUUAUCCCACCAUGAUCUUCAUUUCUUUCUUGGUCACUCCUCAAAGGGAUCGGCCACAUGCUGUAAGCAUUAACUGGGUUUUCUCUGUCAUUUGGCUGUGAUCUUAUUUUCUGUCCAGGGAAUCUGAUCACCUGUCAGUUCAGCUCCUUACGGCCCUCCCUUUCCUUUCGAACUCCAUCUCACCUGUCACGUUUCCCUCCUCCCAGCUUGUCAUACAUUCCUACGUGGCCAAGUUCAGGGGAAGAACAAAUUAAAGAGGCGGUAGCUGGGAAACUAAAGAAGUGCAUCUGGGAACCACAGGGAUCCUGACAGGAGUCCAGCUCCGGCGAAACAGAGUCUUACCGGCGCCGACCAGAAGCGGACAGCAGAGCAGUGAGGGGAGACAGCCACGGACUCUGCCGUCUCGUCUGACGGAGGAGGUGGUGGUAGCUCGAAGCUCGUGCUGAUGAACAACCUCCUGUUGUUACACUACAACACAAUUUGCUCACCCAUUCACUGCCUUAUGGACUUUUGGACUGUAUCCACCUUUCAAUUAUGAACAUUUACAUAGAGUAUUUGUAAGGAUAUGGUUUCAUUUUUCUUGGGUAAGGCACCUAGGACGGGUAAGUGAAUGUUUAAAUUCCUAAGA